rnacentral:misc_RNA from 1 species
CGAGUGCAUGCGUAUUUCGUGCGCCACAUGGUUCGGUACAUGUAAUAUUUUUUAUAAGUGUUGAUUUUGUUUAUAUUUAUUACAAAAUGAGUGGCUCAGAUAUUGAUUAUGAUACCGAUGAAGAAGUAUCAGAAUCUCAUUCUAAACUCUUGGAAGCAGUAGCACAAUUAGAUAAAGGACAGAGAGUUAAGAAGCCAGAAAGAACAGAACCAACGUUAGAAGUAUCAGAAUUUCAUUUAGUUAAAAGUGGAAUAUCCGAUAAAAAUGCAGUAUCUGUUAAGAAUUUAGUAAGAUCGUUAGGAAAUAAAGGAUAUCAAACAGAGUUAAGCAAGAAAUUUAAUGCGGUUCAAAAAAAGACUAAAGUUCUUCCUAAACCAUUAGAAAAACCUUCUGCUGAUCGUAUUAAAAGAGCGGUCGGAUUUGAAAAGACUCAAAAAGAAGUAAGUAAAUGGAACGGAGUAAUAUCGCAUAACAGAGUCGCAGAAAAGGUAUAUUUCCCUUUGAAUAAAUUAUCUACUAAAGCGGACUCAAUUUCUAAAAUGGUUAAAAGAUUUACGCUACAAUCAGAUUUAGAAAAAAAAUUAGCGGAAUUAAAACCAAUACCAGAGCCAGAAGAAAUAGAAGAGAAAGAAGAUAAAGUUGCAAUGACUUUGGAAGAAAUAGUAGAAAGGAGAAAAGAAGCUGCUCACAUGAGAGCUUUACAGUCUUAUAAAGAAGCAAAAGCUCACAGACAAAAAAGGAUUAAGAGUAAAAAGUUCCACCGUGUUCAAAGAAAGGAAAGGAUUAAGCAACAAAUUAAAGAAUUUGAGGAACUACAAAAGUCAGAUCCGCAGACUGCUUUAGAGAAACUAUCGUUGCUUGAUAAAUCCAGAGCGAAAGAACGAGUAACGUUAAGACAUAAAAGUACAGGUCAAUGGGCAAAGAAUAAACAAGUAAGAGCUAAAUAUGACAAAGAAACGCGUCAAGAACUUGCUCAACAAUUGUCCAUCGGUAGAGAAUUGACGCAACAUCUGAAGGUAGCCGAUGAUAGUAGUGACAACGAUGACGAUGAUAAUGAUGGUGAUAAUGAGAAUUCAAUGUCUUUCAAACUUUCUGAUACUACAAAAGAAAAUCCGUGGAUAAAUGAAGUUAAAACUGAAAAUGAAAUUGAUGAGUUUAUCAACAGUUAUCGCAAAUAUUGGGAUGCAAAGAAUUCAGAAUCAAAUAAAAAGGAUUCUAAUUCUGAUCAAGUAAAUAAUAUAUCUCAGGCAAAUAAUACUGAACGUAAGCAAAAACAAGAUAACAAGACUGUUUCUUCUAAUAAAGAAUUAACUAUUAAAGCGAAUAAAUUAAAAAAGAAUGAGAAAUCUUUAAUUACCAAUAAAAAAGUGGAAAGUGAGUUUAAUGGAACGCUUGAUACAAAUGGAUCUUUAAAAAUCAAGAAAGUAAACAAAUAUAAUAAAGUGUUGAAAAAAGUUGCUGCUACAUCUGCUUGGGAUGUACAAGAUUGCAAUGAAUCUGUAACUUUUGAUGAUAUGAAAAAUAAUUCAAUAUCGCCAGUUGAGAAAAUAGAUGAUAUGUUCGAUUUAAUGGAAGAUAAAAUGCGAAAACAGGUUCGUACGCGGAUAAAUCGUGUUAAAAGCAAAUUUAAUAUUGACGCAGAGAAGGAAAAUCAUAACGCUGAUGAAUCUAACGUUGAAGAAUCUAAUAUUGAAGAAUUAGAAUUUAAAAAUAAGAGUCAAAAGCCAAUCUUGACUAAUCCUCUGGAAGAAGUAGCUAAAUCUGCAAAAACAUCAAAAAAUAAAGAUAUAAUGAAAUUGAAAGAGUUAGCAAAAAGUUUGGAUAAAACAACUGUCGAUGUAUCAACAAAUAAAGAUACGAAUAUAGAUCCGAACAAAUACAUUAAUGUAAAACCUAAACAUUUAAAGACUGAUUUACCAAAUGUUAUCACUGGUGGAGACGAUGUUUUAGACGAUAGCGAAGGUGAGGAAGAAAGAAAUGACGUAAUAAGUGAAGCUUUCGCAGACGAUGAUGUAAUCGACGAAUUUAGGAAAGAAAAAGAAGAGGAGAUUAAAAAAUCGCAACCAGAGGAUAUUGAUCUUACCUUACCAGGAUGGGGAUCUUGGGGUGGAACAAAUAUAAAACCAUCGACCCGGAAAAAGAAACAAUUUAUUAUAAAUGUACCAAAAGAGGAACCACGUAGAGACGAAAAUAAAGGCGAUGUUAUAAUAAUCGAAGACGACCAUGCCAAAAUAAGGGAACAUCAGUAAAAAAAUAACACGACACUAAUCGUGAAGAGGAAAGUGUUCGUAUCGGAAUACGAUAUACCGAGAUGUUUAUUUCCGUGUGAAAAAUGAUUAAUAGUUUUCCCAUGGAAGAAGGAAGACGAUGGGAACGUUUAAAUGAGACUUAAUCGCGAACACAAAUAUAAUCCGGUUUAAUAAUUUAUUUUCAUCGGUUGUUUAAAAGGAUUCUUUAUCUAUCUAUCUUUCUCUUUUUAUAUUUUUUAAUUCGUCACGCACGAAGUGUCUGAAGGGUUUAGAUCUUUACGCUCGAAGGAUGACAAAUAACGUUUCUCGUUUGGUAACAAAAGUAGAUUUAUCGUGGAAAAUAAUACAUUUUGAAUAAUCGAUCAUUGUUUAUUAAACGAAUCUGAUUACAAUAUUGUAAUCCAAAGUUUCCUUUUAAUAAUCGUUCACGCGUGCGUGUAUGGGUGGAUAUUUUUA